rnacentral:tRNA from 1 species
UAUGUAUUAGUGUAUGAAGCACAAAGAGUUUUGAUCUCUUUAGAUUUAGUUUAAUUCUAAGAUAUAUAA